UACGUGAGGGCGCAAGCGUUGUCCGGAAUUAUUGGGCGUAAAGAGCUCGUAGGCGGUUUGUCGCGUCUGCUGUGAAAUCCCGAGGCUCAACCUCGGGCUUGCAGUGGGUACGGGCAGACUAGAGUGCGGUAGGGGAGACUGGAAUUCCUGGUGUAGCGGUGGAAUGCGCAGAUAUCAGGAGGAACACCGAUGGCGAAGGCAGGUCUCUGGGCCGCAACUGACG
rnacentral:rRNA from 1 species